CCUACGGGAGGCUGCAGUGAGGAAUAUUGGUCAAUGGACGCAAGCCUGAACCAGCCAUGCCGCGUGCAGGAUGACGGCCCUACGAGUUGUAAACUGCUUUUGUAAAGGAGUAAAGUGAGACACGUGUACCUGUUUGUAAGUAAUGUAUGAAUAAGGAUCGGCUAACUCCGUGCCAGCAGCCGCGGUAAUACGGAGGAUUCGAGCGUUAUCCGGAUUUAUUGGGUUUAAAGGGAGCGUAGAUGGGGUGUUAAGUUAGUGGUGAAAGUAUGGGGCUCAACCUUAGAAUUGCAUUUGAUACUGGUCGUCUGGAGAACAGUUGAGGUAGGCGGAAUUCAUGGUGUAGCGGUGAAAUGCUUAGAUAUCAUGCAGAACACCGAUUGCGAAGGCAGCUUACUAAACUACUACUGACAUUGAGGCACGAAAGCGUGGGUAGCAAACAGGAUUAGAUACCCCAGUAGUC
rnacentral:rRNA from 1 species